UUACAGAUGGACCCGCGGCGCAUUAGCUAGUUGGUGAGGUAACGGCUCACCAAGGCAACGAUGCGUAGCCGACCUGAGAGGGUGAUCGGCCACACUGGGACUGAGACACGGCCCAGACUCCUACGGGAGGCAGCAGUAGGGAAUCUUCCGCAAUGGACGAAAGUCUGACGGAGCAACGCCGCGUGAGUGAUGAAGGUUUUCGGAUCGUAAAACUCUGUUGUUAGGGAAGAACAAGUACCGUUCGAAUAGGGCGGUACCUUGACGGUACCUAACCAGAAAGCCACGGCUAACUACGUGCCAGCAGCCGCGGUAAUACGUAGGUGGCAAGCGUUGUCCGGAAUUAUUGGGCGUAAAGCGCGCGCAGGCGGUUUCUUAAGUCUGAUGUGAAAGCCCCCGGCUCAACCGGGGAGGGUCAUUGGAAACUGGGGAACUUGAGUGCAGAAGAGGAGAGUGGAAUUCCACGUGUAGCGGUGAAAUGCGUAGAGAUGUGGAGGAACACCAGUGGCGAAGGCGACUCUCUGGUCUGUAACUGACGCUGAGGCGCGAAAGCGUGGGGAGCGAA
rnacentral:rRNA from 2 species